GUGGGGAAUAUUGGACAAUGGGCGAAAGCCUGAUCCAGCCAUGCCGCGUGUGUGAAGAAGGUCUUCGGAUUGUAAAGCACUUUAAGUUGGGAGGAAGGGCAGUAAGUUAAUACCUUGCUGUUUUGACGUUACCGACAGAAUAAGCACCGGCUAACUUCGUGCCAGCAGCCGCGGUAAUACGAAGGGUGCAAGCGUUAAUCGGAAUUACUGGGCGUAAAGCGCGCGUAGGUGGUUUUGUAAGUUGGAGGUGAAAUCCCCGGGCUCAACCUGGGAAGUGCCUCCAAAACUGCAUGACUAGAGUACGGUAGAGGGUAGUGGAAUUUCCUGUGUAGCGGUGAAAUGCGUAGAUAUAGGAAGGAACACCAGUGGCGAAGGCGACUACCUGGACUGAUACUGACACUGAGGUGCGAAAGCGUGGGGAGCAAACAGGAUUAGAAACCCUGGUAGUCC
rnacentral:rRNA from 1 species